ACUCAGCAAUACAAAAGAAGUGUCAUAUCAAUAAAAAGACCAGUGGAAACUUUGCAUUCCCUGGGGCAUGCAAGAUAAUGCAUUGUGGGCCAAAAAGAUGAUUUAGAAAUUCUAUUUAUUUUCUCUAAAAUGGUAAGGAAUAAUUUGAGCUUUUCUUGUAUUCAAUAUGCAGAUGGGAAUUGGUGUGAUUUCUUGCUCAAUAUGUCAGUUCAAUUCACAUGACUCGAAAGAAUUUGCAUUAUCAAGAAGAAAGAAUAAAUGCUUCACAGAGGGAAAUUUGAACAUAAUGUCCUCAUUUAUUAAAUCUCUUUCAGUGUAUGGUAGUUUAUCUUUACCUGCUUAACUAAAUUAGUGGAUUAUAUUAUUAGAAUUUUCCAUCAACUAACCAUCACAAAUAACCCCAUGGCCUAGAAAGUACAUACAAAGAAACCACAGAGUCAAGACUUUUCUAUAAGAAAAUAAGGGAAUAUUGGAGCUGACAUUUCUUGUCCUGCCAGGAGCUCUUCAUUUGUCACAAUUAACAAUUAAAAAUUAUUACAAUACUAAAUCAAAAUGAUCAAAAUAAUUGCACCAAAGGCAUACUUUUCUAGGGCAGCAACAAAAAUAAAAUGAGGUAAUUCAAUUGAUUUUGUAUGAAGGUCCAUACUAAUUACAUGUAACUGCUUCAAUGCAUCUUCAAGAAUCUACUAGACAAAAAUUUCUCUAGUGUUUAUUCUAGCCAGGCACUAGGCCAGGUGCGGACUCAUAUGUCAUUUCCUUCCCAAGUCUUCUUUCUGCUAGGUUGAGUUUCAUUCCUCCCCCAGCAUCCCCAUGAUAACCUAUGUACCCUUCUCUCAUUGCACUCACCCUAGAAAAGGAUGCCUCCCCCAUGAGUAGUUACAUAAUUAGACUCAUAGUCCCUGCAUCCUGGACAUUUUCUGGCAGAGGGCUGACACACAAGUGAAUCCAAGUAUGUGAGUGUGUGUGUUCGUGUAUGUGUAUACAUUUAUGAAACUAGUCUAGGAAGUGCUUUCGUUUACUCUUUAAUCUGAGCACAAGGGUUAGAAGUGCAAGAAGAAGUUUGCUUCAUUAAAAUAAAGAUGAUUUAUUCCUAUCUGUAACCUUCUUUGGGUAUCAUGUGUUUAUUCAUGAAUAUUCUGUGCACAUAAAAAUAUCUUAAUCAGAGGAAAGUGAAAGGGUAUUUACAAUCUGUUAUGUACAUAAUUGUAUAUGAGUCUUUGCACAUACUGUAUUGACUGCACAUUUGCUGAUGUGAGAAAAAGCAAAACAAGAAACUUAAAGAUUAGCUGCAUAUCAAAUGUUUACUAUAGUAUUUGCACAUUGAAUAAAGUGAAAGGGUAUUUACAAUCUGUUAUAUACGUAAUUGUAUAUGAGUCUUUGCACAUACUGUAUUGACUGCACAUUUGCUGAUGUGAGAAAAAGCAAAACAAGAAACUUAAAGAUUAGCUGCAUAUCAAAUGUUUACUCUAGUAUUUGAAUGAGACAUAUUUUCAAGUUGAUAUUUUCAAACUGUGACUGCUAUAGAUUUUGUAUAACAUCAACAUCACUUAAAAAAUGUAUAGGUUUACAUCAUUACUUCUGGCUCCUGGCAAUUAUUUGACCAUAUCAACUUGUUUCACUUCUAGAAACCAGAAUGGUUACUAUAAUAUUAAAUUUACUAAGGAAUUCACAUUGCAUGUAUCACACCACGAAGAUUCCCUUAGGUUUUCCAUAAUAUCAGUACAUAAGCCAGCACUAAAGAAUAAAGCAAUAAAAAUAUAAACUAUAUCUAAUGGAAUGUCUUUUAUAAGAGAUUACUUAGAAGAAAUUAUGGUUAAAAGAGUGUUCCCCUACUUGAUCUACAAGAAGAGCCACUUGAUUGUCAACUGAUAACAUAGUUAAGUAACUGGCAUCAAUUUCUUUCUGUUACUAUUAGGUUUACGUGUGUUUAAUUAUAACAUGAAAAAAAUACAUGAUGGGUUUUUUUGUACAAAUACAAUAAAAUUGUAUAUUUCCCUUUUGUUACUUUAUACAUUAAGAAUAAUGUUUCCACAACCAGGACUAUACAUAAGUGUUUAUAUUUCCUAUUUGCAUUAAAGAAUCUUUAUGUGCAGAGUCUAAGAAUAUUAGUGUCUCAUUCUGUACAGAAGCUAAAAAUUUUAAAACUUCCUGACUUUCAGACUUGCCUCUCCCAACAGACUAUUGCUAUCAAGGUUGAACAACAUGUACCUAGUACAAUCUAGCUGAUUUCUACCUUAGGUAGAAAUUGAUGUGAAAUUCUAUAAACAAUGUUCAACCUAAUUGAAAUAAUUGAGAGGGCUUAACCUUUUGUUUGAAAAUAGUUUUUAUAUGGUAAAAUAUUUGACGUCUCCAACUCCCAAACUGUACCUUAACCAUGGGAACACAAUCUUUUCCUAAGUUGCAUCUACAUCUAUAACAGAUAUCUUCUACUUCGGGUUAGCUGAUGAGAAUAACUUCAAACAUUGAGCAUAGAAAUUGAAUCUUUGUGUAAGCAAGUGAGUCAGAAUCCUGUAUUUACAGAUUGUCAGUCUCUGAGUUGGUCGUCAUGGGAGUGGGAUGAGACCAAUGCUUGCACAUGCUUUUAUCAUUACUGCCCAAAUCCAGUGAGACAGACAAGGAAGCCUUUGCUUCUCUAGUACUAACUCCAUUAGAACCUCUCACAAUGAUUAGGACUAGGAAAUGCUAACCCUUCCCCAGCCUCACCAAACAUGCAUCCUGAGGCUCUUCCAGAACCAGAUCAAACACUUGACCACAAAUGGGGAAUAUGGAGAUCUUCCCUGAAGAAUAAUGAGAUUUUCCUUGGACAUUAUUGGUUGAAAGUGAAGGCAAGGAAGAAUAAGCGAAUUAAAUCCAGUUCCAUAUGUGAGCAUCAGCAUGAGUUCACUUUCCCCACCAAAGAAAACUGUUUCUAAUUUUCUUUCUAAAUAAUUAAGAAAUAAGAGCAUCUAGUCAAGGGAAACAGUUUCAUUCCAUGGAACUAGAGAAUCUAAGUCAAAUUGGAAUAAAUAAUUCCAUUGGCAUGGCCUUGAUUUUGUACUUUUUGUAAUACUAGAAACCUGCAUUAUGGUUUUGAAUAAAAGUUGGCUUUUUCCUCUCCCUGCCUGAUUGUAAAGAGCUCUGCUUUUUCUAACCAGGAAGAGUAGAAUGUGAUGUAAUUUUUGUUUAAUUCUUUUAUUUAGUAAUUGAGAAAGGAAGAGGGUUAGUUCAGCACACUGCAUUUAAACAGAAUAUCAGUUUGGCUAUUUUGACUUUAUAGAAGUCUGUAAAUAAGAAGUCAUUUAUAUGUGCAUAAUUUGGAUGGACAGUUUCAUGGACACUCUUGGAUGGAGCACUUGGAUGGCCCAUAGAACACUCUGUUUGUCCCUAUCAUAGUACGUAUUGUAUUGUGUUAAGAUGCUUAUUUGCUUAAAUGUGUCUCCCAAAAGGUGGUGAUGACUUUGAAGCCAGCGACUAUGACUUGUUCACUUCUGUAUUUCCAGUUCUUAAUACAAUGGCUUACAUACCAUAAAUAAAUUGGUGCUCAACAGUAUAGUCAUUGAAUGUAAAAAUGAAGAUUGCAUCAGCUGGUUUAUGACAUGUAACAAACCACCCACAAAGUUGGUGCUUAAAACUAAUCGUUAUCAUUGUUCAUGAGUCUGUUGGUCAUGUGAGCAUUUCUGCUGAUCUUGUCAGACUAAGCUGAUCGUUGCUGGGCUCACUCGUGCUUCUGUGGUCAGUAAUGGACUUGGUCAUGGGCCAUGAUAUCUGAAAUGGUCUUAUUGUCACAGCUGAUGUUUCUCUCUCUACUAGCCUGGCUAAUGAAGGUGGCUAUACCAUGUCUCUCAUCAUCCAACAGUCUAGGGAGAGUUUGUUCACAUGGCAGCAGAUGGUAGGAGUUCCAAGAACUUAAUAAAAAUUGCAAGUCCUCUUGAAGCCUAGAUUCAGAGGGGCAAUUACAUUUUUGACUCAUUUCUUUUAUCAAAGCCAGUCUGAAGACAAACUUGUAUUCAAUAUAUGGAAAAAACGAGUCCCCCCUCCCAUGUUUUCAUGGAAGGAGCUAUGAAUUAUGGUGGUCAUGUUUGAAAUUCACUACAAAUGAUAAAGCAUCCAGAAUGUCACAAGAGACUAAGCUACAGUGAAAUCUGAAAUCUCCUCUCUGUGACAUUAGCAACAUCGUUAAUAUCUUAAUCCUUUUUCUGCCUGGGAUCUGAAUCCCUUUCAAAAACCCACAUUUAUUUAGGUCAAAUAAUUAAAAUGAAGGCAACUAACUUAAAUGAAAUCACUUACAAUUUUAUUUUAGACAGCCAUAAUAAACACAAGUAGAUAAACACAAUAACAGUUUAAUGAAAAAUAGCCGUGUUCUCUAAACAAAAAAUAGUAAGAAUAGCAGUAGUGGUUCAUAUUUUUACACAUCUCUUUAUAUAAGGUUUAAUUUUAAAAGUAGUUGGAUUAUCAGAGAAAAAAACUCCCCUUACAUGCUAGUUAUUAGCUUUACGCCUUGUAAAUGUUUUUCUUUCUGUGAAUUGUCCAACCCCUUAGCCUCUGUCUACCUGGGGAAACUAGACAGAAUUGAAAAUUUAAGCAAAAAUUCUACUCUGGUUAUAGAAAGCUGUUUUGAGAAUGACUGGCAAUUUCAGUGGCCUGCUGCAAGUGGUUUAUUUUAGUUUUAUUUUAUGUCUUGAUUCCACUCAGCCUUAAGAAGACCAUAGCUUGGAUAAUAAUAGUUCAUUUCUGAAAUGGGCUCAACAAAAGAAAGCAUUCACCAUACUUUUAGCAUUCUUUUAUCAGUGUGACUAUCGUACGCUUUCUUCUUCUUUUUUUUUUUUUUCAGAUGGUCUAUAGCACUGUAGCAUAAAGUAUUAUAAGAACCCCUCCAGAGUUCACGGGCAUCAUUAGAUGGAAUCACUGAGUUAGAUGAUAUCUAUAAAGAGAUAUUGAGGAUGUCAUUAAAAUAAACAUUAAGCAUUGUGAGGUAGAACAUGAAAUUCUCUAUAAAGGAGUUUUCAGAAUUAGAUUUCAGUAAAACUGUGAGACUGAAGAAAUGUUGUCUUGGCAACCUAUGAGUUACCUUAAAUUUGGCAUCCUAAUUUGUGUUAGAAAGUUUUCUGUAUUCACUAAAUCCUCACUGAUAAUGUUUGGGUAGUUUUUGUAGUCAAUGUUCAAGGAUAGGACUAUUUCAAAACCAGGAAAAAUGGCUUUAAGCAAAGGCAAAUAGAUAAGGGUGGCAAACUUCGUAUCACACUGUGGAGGUCACUAACUACUCAAAUAAUCUUGAGUACUUCCACGCAUGCAGUCAUGUAUUCAUCUAAUAAACAUUUAUUGAGCACCUUCUAUAUAUGAAGCCCUGAGGCAAUUAUAAAGAAGAAUGAGGUGCAUCCUUAUCCUCAAUAAUUAUACUGCCUGGAAAAGAAAGCCUACAGCUAAGUUGUUGAUGAAAUAUGAAGUAGAAAUGAAUAUAAAGUGCUCAGGUAGCAUACAAGGAAAGCAACUAAAUAUUAUCAGGAGAGCUACUGGUGAAUUAAUGAGGCACUUACAUAACAUAGAAGAUAGAUUAAAAAAAACUAGUUGCAAGUAAAGUAGAAUUCAAGCAGUGUGAAUGGCACAAACCAAAGCAAAAAACUAGAAAGUAAUUUAGUCUCUUUGAGAAAUUUUUCUAAAGCAUAAGUCAUAUUGUUUUGGGGGAAGAUAAGAGUAGAGUUAGGUAAAAUAUCAUAAAGUCAGAAUUGCUAGUGUUCAAAUUAUUGAUUCAUGUGCAAACAUUUUUAUCUAGUGUAGCACAUGCUCUGAUCCUUCUAAGUCAUAUUUGAAUCAUUUAUCUUCUAUGCCCUUCAUAGGUACUUGGAUUCUGUUACUUUUCAUAUUGCAUUGCACUGUUUCGUAAUAUCUGUAUUUUUACUUUAAUCCUGAGAAGAAGACUGUGUCUUAUAUUUCUAUCUCCUUCAUGUGGAAGAAUGCAAAGUACUUAUCAUAUUUGUUGAAUGCUUUUCUAUCUUCCUAAAAUCUUAAUUCUUCCUAUUCUUGGUCUUAAAAUAGUUAUCUACUUUCUUAAUGAGCCUACUUUAUUGUUCCAAGCUAGUAACACCAACUGAUAACUUUGAACUGAAACAAAUAAUUCACUUAGGUCUAAAUUGGUUUCCCAGUCCCAGUGGAUUCAGCAAAAACACUGAGGCUUAGAAAUGUACACCAGUGGCCAAGCAUCUUCACACAAUGUCAUUUGUACCAGGGUUUGUCCAAAUAUAGAGAACCACACAGUCAAAGAAACCAUGGAUUUUACCCAAGUCAUCUAUUUGAACAAAUUUGUUUGUGUCUCCUGUUCUUUUAUUAUCCCCAUGUAUGCUUUUAAUCAGCUAGAUGUAGAGUAGUACACAGUCUUUGCUUCCAGCUUUUAAAGACGUGUGAAAAUCCAAGAAUCAGUGGUGAUCCAUUAUCUAGCAAUAUUACUGAGCAAAUAUGAGCUCACUGCCCACAACAGAUAGAAACCAAUACUCUAGCAAUGGCUUUUGUGAAAAGAAAGUCUUUAUUUUGCCAGGCUGGCCAGCAAGGGCACAGGUGAUGCAACUCAAAUCUGUCUUACUAAUUUGGGGUCUGGGGAAAGUUUUAAGGGGCCAGAGGACAAGGGAAAGGAUUAAGAAAUGUUGAUUUGGCAGAGUCUAAUUGAAGGUCUUCAAAUUUGACCAUUUAUGGUAAGCCAUGUUGAGGAGGAUUUUAGCUCCUGAUCUUUUGGGCCAGUGGACCCCUGGCUUUUGAAACGGUUCCAGGGUUUAGGUUCUGGUUGUAUCCUGGUCUUCUUGGUUCCACAGGGAGGAAUCAUGGGUUCUGGGUGUUGCUAAAGGUCAAAACUUUUUCUGUUGUGCAUGCUUGGGCUACAUGAUUGGCAAUUUUGACUCUGUUAUUCCUACAAGGUAACUUGGCAUUCUGUCAUCAACAAAGUAGGCCCGGGUUGGGCUGGUCCUGUUGUUAUAGUAAGGAUACAUCAAAUCUGUGAAAAUAUUCAGAAAAUUCAAUUUCUUAUGGCCAUAUUCAGAAGAUUUAUAUCUAUGGAAUUACAUGCAAACAUAUGGUGAAAGAAAUAGUCAUAAAAUAACUCAUGAGAGAUCUUCUGAAUACCUGUUUAAAUUGAAAAUGAAAUCCAUAAUAUUGACAUAAAACAAGGUCCUAUGCCUGCAUUGCACUGUUAAUAGGAUAGCCCCAUGAGUGAUUUAAGGCAUAUUUAGAUAUCAUGCUUCAGGCAUUGUUGCCUUUUAUUGACAAAAGAGAUUGCACGAUGGUUGUUUUUGAGAAGUUAUUGCUUUCUGUGCAAGAGUCCUGCACACAGAAAAAAAGUAUUGGGCUUCUGAAACUGUGAAAUUGCUACUGAAUAUUACCUGAGGAAAACUGAAGUGAUGUGCAGAGUUGUGAUACUGUAGGCAUUCUCCCAGUUGUUCAUUUUAUCCCUGCUAAUCUCCUUGCUUCCAGCUUUCUUUGAAGUUAUUUUUAUUUUCUCCUCUUUACACUUCAGCGAAUGCUCUCCCUAUGUGAGAAAAACUGAAGACCAAAGUUCAUAGAUGUUUACUGUCCUCUUGGCUAACACAUGCAUGACAGAGUCUUAUACUAAAAAUACCUAGCAAACUGCUUGUGGGUUUUUUUUCUCUUAUGAGUAGAAAGGGUACUAGCUUGUGUAUGUAUUUUUUCUUAAUGAAAAUAUGCUGCUACUAUGACUCCAAGAAUCAUUGAUAACCAAACUUGGUGACAUGUUUUCAAUUGAUUACACUGUCAUCAGUAUCGGUUUUCUAGGAUUGAACUCAGUGGCAUGUAAUUUGGUUCCUGAACACUAAUGCAUUGCUAGGAGCACGUGUGUGACUGAGUAGUUGACUUUAACAUCACCCUCUGCCACUCCAUUUCUGUCAGUGCCUCCUUAUUAGAAAUAUACCUAGAGAAAAGUCACACAUUCUGGCAGCUUGCAGUAUAAUAUGAGAUGCCUUCUAGGUGUAAAAUAAAAAUACUAGAAGCACAUUUAAAUAAUUUUUAACUUCCAUGUUGUGAUUAGAUGAAUAAACCUUACAAAAUGAAAAAUAAACCUCUAUACUCAUUACUUUCCUGCAUCUUUCUAAAUCCAUGUUUCAAAGGAGAUCUUUAAAUUGACCUCAACAAUGGAGACAACUUAGGAAGUAAAUCAGUUGCUGAGAUGUCAGUUAUUUCAAAUGUUGUAGGACUUGUUGAUGUACAAGGUAUAGUAAUAAUAUUAGAGAUUUAUUGAUGUAUUUAUUUCUUUAAAAUGUGUCAACUUACACAAAAUGUAUAGUGUCACCAUUUUAGUAAAAGUUCAAGUAUCAUCCAGCCAUCAAUCCUUCUAUUUAAGAAACGUUCGACGAGUAGGAGAUCAAGUAUCAUCCCUCCAUCAAUCCUUUUAUUUAAGAAACAU
rnacentral:lncRNA from 1 species